rnacentral:rRNA from 1 species
AUGCACGCUGGCGGCGUGCCUAAUCCAUGCAAGUCGCGCGCACGGACGAGAAGCUUGCUUCUCUGAUGUUAGCGGCGGACGGGUGAGUAACACGUGGAUAACCUACCUAUAAGACUGGGAUAACUUCGGGAAACCGUAGCUAAUACCGGAUAAUAUUUUGAACCGCAUGGUUCAAAAGUGAAAGACGGUCUUGCUGUCACUUAUAGAUGGAUCCGCGCUGCAUUAGCUAGUCGGUAAGGUAACGGCUUACCAAGGCAACGAUGCAUAGCCGACCUGAGAGGGUGAUCGGCCACACUGGAACUGAGACACGGUCCAGACUCCUACGGGAGGCAGCAGUAGGGAAUCUUCCGCAAUGGGCGAAAGCCUGACGGAGCAACGCCGCGUGAGUGAUGAAGGUCUUCGGAUCGUAAAACUCUGUUAUUAGGGAAGAACAUAUGUGUAAGUAACUGUGCACAUCUUGACGGUACCUAAUCAGAAAGCCACGGCUAACUACGUG